GGUCAAUGUACUGCAUCAGGUGUGGACAGCAGGAAACCUACCUGUGGAGGAUAGUUGCUCUCAGAAGACCACCUGGAAGACUGAUCAUUAGGUUUGUCCACCAAGAUAUUCCUAAAAAACACCCGCAAAGAAAAGGUUACUAUUCACCACAAACACUUCAAUUGAUCAUCAGCAACACCACCAUCGGGUGGCAGCGUAUCAACACUAAACGCCCCUACCGCCGCUAACAAAGCUAACGCUCGCGGGCUCGGAUGGCAGACGAGCUAGGCCAGUCGGGCCGCCUGGAAGAAACAUUGGUGUGUUGAGGCGAUGGAAGCUCACUUGUGACCACAACACCUAAUGCAUACGCAGGGCCAACUAACGUGUGCAUUACUCACUCGGGUAAAUAUGUAGAGGAGUAAGAGCUCCAUUUAAAAACGCUGAAAGUGAGGACUCUGCUCUCAGGAACGACAGCCAUCUUGUUGCAGAAAAUAACAAGCGGUUAGCGGGAGAGGCUAGCAAGAAGCGAGCGGUGGCAGCCCUUAAAGAGACAGUACACCCGGUUUUGUUUUGUUUAAACAACGAAGAAUGAAAUAUGCAAUAUUGACAGUUACCAGGCCACAUUUUCUAUAUGCAUCUGAAUAUAACAUCAGUGUUAUAUAACAACUGUAGUUUAAUAUGCAGAUCACCCAUAUAAUAAUAAUAAUAAUAAUAAGAAGAAGAAGAAGAAGAAGAAGAAGAAGAAGAAG